rnacentral:rRNA from 1 species
AGUGAGCGCUGGCGGUAGGCCUAGCACAUGCAAGUCGAACGGCAGCACAGUAAGAACUUGCUCUUACGGGUGGCGAGUGGCGGACGGGUGAGGAAUACAUCGGAAUCUACUUUUUCGUGGGGGAUAACGUAGGGAAACUUACGCUAAUACCGCAUACGACCUACGGGUGAAAGCAGGGGAUCUUCGGACCUUGCGCGAUUGAAUGAGCCGAUGUCGGAUUAGCUAGUUGGCGGGGUAAAGGCCCACCAAGGCGACGAUCCGUAGCUGGUCUGAGAGGAUGAUCAGCCACACUGGAACUGAGACACGGUCCAGACUCCUACGGGAGGCAGCAGUGGGGAAUAUUGGACAAUGGGCGCAAGCCUGAUCCAGCCAUACCGCGUGGGUGAAGAAGGCCUUCGGGUUGUAAAGCCCUUUUGUUGGGAAAGAAAAGCAGCAGGUUAAUACCCCGCUGUUCUGACGGUACCCAAAGAAUAAGCACCGGCUAACUUCGUG